UACGAGUGGUGCAAGCGUUAUUCGGAAUCAUUGGGCGUAAAGGGUGUGUAGGCGGUAUAUCAAGUCUGUUGUUAAAUCUCUCAGCCUAACUGGGAAAAUGCAGCGGAAACUGAUGUGCUAGAGGAUGGAAGAGAGAAGUGGAAUUCUCGGAGUAGCGGUAAAAUGCGUAGAUCUCGAGAGGAACACCGAUGGCGAAGGCAGCUUCUUGGUCCAUUCCUGACGCUGAUACACGAAAGCGUGGGGAGCAAACAGG
rnacentral:rRNA from 1 species